rnacentral:misc_RNA from 1 species
GUUUAUUAGCACGGGCUUAUUAACAAGAUUAAGCACUCGUAGCACUAGUGAUAAUGACCUUAGGUUCGAAACGAAUCCGCGGUCACGGGAUGGUAAACGUAUGUUCUCGCACAGCUCAAGUCUAACUCUUUGUUAACUAGAUGUGAGGUAUUCACUGGUUGUAAGGUGGCACUGUCAUUCGUCGAUGAGAUGGUACGAAAGAAUGACUCUCCGUCUCGACGAUGUCGUCGAGGAAAACUAUAUUGGGUGGGUCUAAGGAUAUGAGAUCC